rnacentral:rRNA from 1 species
AUUGAACGCUGGCGGCAUGCCUUACACAUGCAAGUCGAACGGCAGCACGGGUGCUUGCACCUGGUGGCGAGUGGCGAACGGGUGAGUAAUAUAUCGGAACGUACCUUAUUGUGGGGGAUAACGCAGCGAAAGCUGUGCUAAUACCGCAUAAUCCUUAAGGGGGAAAGCGGGGGACCGUAAGGCCUCGCGCAAUUAGAGCGGCCGAUACCUGAUUAGCUAGUUGGUGAGGUAAAGGCUCACCAAGGCAACGAUCAGUAGCUGGUCUGAGAGGACGAUCAGCCACACUGGGACUGAGACACGGCCCAGACUCCUACGGGAGGCAGCAGUGGGGAAUUUUGGACAAUGGGGGCAACCCUGAUCCAGUAAUGCCGCGUGAGUGAAGAAGGCCUUCGGGUUGUAAAGCUCUUUUGUCAGGGAAGAAACAGCAGCUCUAACACAGUAUGCGAAUGACGGUACCUGAAGAAUAAGCACCGGCUAACUACGUGCCAGCCGCCGCAGUAA